AAUGAACAAUUGCAGGCAAGGAGGCUGGUGACUGCUUCAGAUCCCUUAAAUAUUUUGUAAUCAUGGGUGAGACAGACGGCCAGACCACACAGACAGAGACUGAAUGUCGGAUAGAUGAGUAAAGACACAUCUUCAUGCCGCUGUUCAGGACACGUAAUGGAAC
rnacentral:lncRNA from 14 species